AAAGGAAUGUAGCUUGAUGCCUUCAGUGUUUUGUUUGUUUUUUUUUCCCUUGCAGAUAAUGUAGCAUAUUGGUCUAGACUCAAUCCUGCUGCAGGACAUUUUAGGCUGGCUAUGCAAUGCAUAUAUUUGUUUGCUGUCUGUUUUUACUCCUACCCAGUAAUGCAGCACAUAAAAACAACAAAGCUUUAUUUCUCAAACAGAAAAAAAAAUUUCUCUUUUAUCAUUUCUCUCUGAAGUGUACACGCAUAACAUCUCAGUAGGAUGGAAAAACAUUGGGAACUACAAUAAAGGUAAACAAAACCAGCAGUCUGCAAUAGCUUAUGUGACUAGAUCAAAUUGGUUUUCUUUUAGCUUCUUUUUUUGUUGUUUUUGGUUUUGUUUGCAAUCAUUGCUUUUCAACAAACUCUGUGCAUCAAUGUUUUUAUAAGGUUAUAUUUUUGUAGAUUUCAAACACCUUUAUACCUGAAUGACUUACUGCAAAAAACACCAAACUAACUGUUUGUACUUCCAGAAUGACCCUUCUUCAUUCCUUGUACAAUUGAUUUUCAGUGCAAUUAUACUAAAAUGUUGACUAGAGUCUCUUCUGGUAUCUUCUGAAUAUGAAACAUCUCUGAACAAAUGCUUCUUCAUGUACAGUCCAUAAUUUUCUAGCAGAACUAUGUCCCAGGAGAGACACUACCUGUAGAGGCUGUUCUGACUAAAUUGGAUACUGCUUGAGAGGAUUUUUUAUUUCACUGUUAAGUGUAACGUGAAGUAAUUUCUUUUCAAGAGAUGUUCUUGGAAAGACAGCAUGUCUCUCCACAGCCAAAUUUAUUGCCCUGCAAAAAGAACAUGGGUGAGCAGAGCCAAAGGGAAGGCCACAGAAGGAGGUUGCCUUGGCAUCCAUGAGAGAUUUUCAAAAUGUUACAUUGACUUACCAGAAAAUCCCUGAGAUAUUUCAUUUUCUUACAAUAUCUUGGGAAAGAGUGUUCAUUCUGAAUUCAUGUCACUAGAGAAUUUAUGGCUAAAUAGACAAGAUGUUGAAGACCUGAAUGUGGAACAAUUGAAGAAAAUUCAAAAUGGUGACACUGUAACAACCAGCCUCACUUGCAAACUGAUUGUGCAUUGGUCCAUGAGGAAUACAAGGAACAUCACUUUGAAUUACAUAGACAGAGUGGCCAGGUGAAAGUUCCUCACUCCUGCAACUACAACUUGUGUUUCUUCAGAGCUCUAGGUUUCCCUCUCAGAGUGGUUCAUGGUGUAUCUGAUGGUUGUUCCUUUUAGAAAAUAUCUAGAAAGGUCUAUAUAUAUAAGAAUAAAAAUGUACACAUAUAAGAAGUGAAAAGCCCAAUUUUCUCCUGCAGCCACCCUAUGAUUGAAUGUACAAAUACUGCUGAAAAUAGGAAAAAAUAGUCUGACAGACAAGACACAUAAUUCAGAGAUACAGGAUGACAUACUUUGGCACAUUACCAUGGGAAAAAAGAAGUAAUUUUCCAUAUUGAUCCACCCCAAAAUGUAUGUGUCUUCAAAUAUUUGAAGUCUCAAACUGAUGAUUUCUUUAUGUCAAAGGAAUUUCAGGAAUUCCAGUGAGAGACAUUUUUCUCAAACAUUUAUCACACAUCUGUCAAGUCUUCAAGCACAUCAUCAGAUUGAAUAUUUAGAGCAUUUUUUCCUCAGCUGCUAAAGUUAAUGGGAAUGGGAAAUCAAAAACAUUUGUUAAUCAGAAACAAUACUGUACACAAGUACGAUACUGUGGCUUGUAUGCUAAAUGUUAGCAGCUUAUAUGUUGAAUUAAGUUAACCUGGUGCUGGGAAAAAGUUGGGACUGCAGUCAAAUUAGAGAAAAGAACCUGUCUGAGAUGAUUUAAUAAACUAAAAUUCUCAUAAAUCUGGAUAAGAGUGAGAGUACACCUAUAGCCUGGAAAGGAAAACCUUAACAAGAAAC